UCGCGAAUCAGAAUGUCGCGGUGAAUACGUUCCCGGGCCUUGUACACACCGCCCGUCACACCAUGAGAGUCGAUAACACCCGAAGCUUGUGAGCUAACCGCAAGGGGGCAGCAGUCGAAGGUGGGGUUGAUGAUUGGGGUGAAGUCGUAACAAGGUAAC
rnacentral:rRNA from 1 species